AAAAACUCCGGUGGUAUGAGAUGGACCCGCGUCUGAUUAGCUAGUUGGUGAGGUAACGGCCCACCAAGGCGACGAUCAGUAGCCGGCCUGAGAGGGCGACCGGCCACAUUGGGACUGAGACACGGCCCAAACUCCUACGGGAGGCAGCAGUGGGGAAUAUUGCACAAUGGGGGAAACCCUGAUGCAGCGACGCCGCGUGAGUGAAGAAGUAUUUCGGUAUGUAAAGCUCUAUCAGCAGGGAAGAAGAAAGACGGUACCUGACUAAGAAGCCCCGGCUAACUACGUGCCAGCAGCCGCGGUAAUACGUAGGGGGCAAGCGUUAUCCGGAUUUACUGGGUGUAAAGGGAGCGUAGACGGCUGUGCAAGUCUGAAGUGAAAGCCCAGGGCUCAACCCUGGGACUGCUUUGGAAACUGUGGAGCUAGAGUGCUGGAGAGGUAAGUGGAAUUCCUAGUGUAGCGGUGAAAUGCGUAGAUAUUAGGAGGAACACCAGUGGCGAAGGCGGCUUACUGGACAGUAACUGACGUUGAGGCUCGAAAGCGUGGGGAGCAAACAGGAUUAGAUACCCUGGUAGUCCACGCGGU
rnacentral:rRNA from 1 species